GGUUCUCCAUCAUCUACUCUCCUCUUUAACUAGUCGAGAGUGGUGGAACCUCGCAGUCCGAUCUUCCGCUUUUCAUCGAGCGUUGGUGAGGUCUGCCAAAGUGAAAGUAGUGCUCCGAGUAUUGCCCAACGGUCAGUCAGCAAUGGCUUUCGGUUGGGUAAGUAGCCGCACUCGAGUAGACGUGAACCUUCGCAUUUGUUUCAUUACAUCUGUGUCUUCUAGCCCAUACCCGAUUAUCCUACACUUGCUCGGCUUCUGUUCGGUAUAUACCAUCGGCUUCCUUCAUUGGAUUCCCUUGCAAUAUCGACAUAGACGAACCAGCCUAUAUAAGU
rnacentral:misc_RNA from 1 species